UCCAAAUGAAAAAGAAAAGACAGCAUGCUGGUGCUGGUAGCUUUGUAAACCGAAGCUAAACGUUUAAAAGAUAUGACGUUGUUGUGUGAGGAACAAUAACGUAAACAUGUGGAGGGACGCACUGGUGGAGCCUGUCGAACUGGCUUUCGCAUCAGUCUCUGAGAUUCACUGCCAAGGUCCAGGUGGUUUCUGUCCCGUAAUGCUGCCUCUGAACGAAAAUUCGUUGUGGAUUAGCUAGACAGGUAGGCU